AACGCACCUUGCGCCCCUUGGUAUUCCGAGGGGCAUGCCUGUUUGAGUGUCAUGUUAAUCUCAAACCUCAAGUCUUUCUUAAGUGAAAGGCUCGGUUUGGUUUGGACUUGGAGGUUGCUGCUGGCUCCGUUUUGUAGUCGGCUCCUCUGAAGUGCAUUAGCUGGACUUUGGUUCGCGUUUACGGUGUAAUAGUAAUACAAAUGUUCGCCGUCGAGUGCUUGCCUAUGAAGUCUGCUUCUAAUCGCCCUCGCGCGGGCAAGGUCUUCGACCUUCAUGAACACCUUGACCUCAAAUCAGGUAGGACUACCCGCUGAACUUAA
rnacentral:misc_RNA from 1 species